GAUGAAGAACGUAGCGAAAUGCGAUAAGUAAUGUGAAUUGCAGAAUUCAGUGAAUCAUCGAAUCUUUGAACGCACCUUGCGCCCUUUGGCCAUUCCGAAGGGCAUGCCUGUUUGAGUAUCAUGAACACCUCAACUCUCAUGGCUCGCCAUGAUGAGCUUGGAUUUGGGGGUCUUGCUGGCCUGUGGUCGGCUCCUCUCAAAUGGAUCAGCUUGCCAGUGUUUGGUGGCAUCACAGGUGUGAUAACUAUCUGCGCUUGUGGUUUUCCAUCAGAUAACCUUCAGUGAUGGAGGUUCGCUGGAGCUCAUAAACGUAUCCCCUAAGCGGGGACAGCCCUUUGAAUGUUUGAUCUCAAAUCAGGUAGGACUACCCGCUGAACUUAAGCAUAUCAAUAAGCGGAGGA
rnacentral:misc_RNA from 1 species